rnacentral:lncRNA from 1 species
GGCCGGAGCGGGGGAUUGUGGGAAGCGCGGGGAUGCGCGGGCUCCACAACUUGAGACCUGCGUGCUACGAACGCCAUUUGGCCGCGGAGUGCGAAGAGAAUGCUUUGUUGCGGACCCCCGUAGGACCUGGACCCCUCUGCUUCAGCAGGGUCGCAGGCGGCCCGGAGCAUGCGGAAUGGCAUUCAAGGCACCCCCCUCCCCAGUCUAAAAAUAAACCCAUCCCGGGAGGCGACCCUUCCCAAAUGAGGCAGCUGCAAUUUGGAAACGCUGAAUAUUUAACUACAAAGAAAAGCUCAUCUGCUUGGCUGGCCUCCAGCAGAGUGUGGUAGCAGCAGGCAGGAGCCUGGCAGUGUGGGAGGAGACCUGACAGGAAACAGGGAAGAAUUUCCAGGUAUUGGUUCACCUCCACACUGGCUGGACAUGCAGAUACCUGCUACUAACAGGAGUCAGUCAUCUUAUGCAUUAAGCAACUUAACACGUUGCUGUCCCUAACUCCAACUUACUGGAUUUUAACAAUAACCGAGCAUCAAGAAGGGAUAUUUACCAAUAACUUGGAGGACCCAUAACUUCACUGUCUUCUUGCCGCUGCAACCUGCUGCCACGAAUCAUUUCCACCUGCUACAGAUCCCUUGCCACAGCACUCCAGUCCCGAUUUUCCCUCGGGCCUCUAGAUACCAUCACAGCAGCAUCAUCCUAUUAGCACAUAUUUUCUGAAUGCUUAAUUACCAGGCAUCUAUACAGAUCUUUAUCUGCACUAAGAAUUCAGGAAGAGCAGGACCCACUGUAUCUUUGGUUGCCAAAAGCAGGAACCUAUGAGUCUUCUCUCCAUGUAAUCACAGGGACCCAACAUUAAGUCUCCAGUCUCCUUUCUUUUGACUCCUAAUUUUAAAUUCCUAGAAGACAAACAUGAUUGAUCCAGCUUGGGUCACAUGUCUUGGAUCAUUCAUCUUGGGCUAAGCAGCAGUUCAUGCAGGAAUAAACAUAACUACUAGGAGCCUUGCCUAUAAAUGGGGCUUGUCCCCAGAAGAGAGAAGAAAAUGGAGCCCACAUACAAAGGGAAGCAAAUAAACCCAUGAGAGAUGGAGGGAGAACCCUCAGAGUCUUUUAGCUCUUACUAUGGUUUAGAUCUAAAAUGUCCCCC